GACGAACGCUGGCGGCGUGCCUAACACAUGCAAGUCGAACGGAAAGGCCCUGCUAUCGUGGGGUGCCCGAGUGGCGAACGGGUGAGUAACAGGUGAGUAACCUGAUCUUGAUUUUGGGAGAACUUCAGGAAACUGGGGCUAAGACAGGAUAGGAGCUCAUCCAGCAUGGUGGGGGUUGGAUAGUCGCUGCGGUAGGGGUUGGAUUCGCGGCUGACCGGCUUGUUGGUGGGGUAGGUGCUUACCCAGGCAUUGACGGGUACGCGGCCUGUGUAGGUGACCGGCCACAAUGGUACUGAGAUACGGCCCAGACGCCUACAGGAGGCAACAGUGGGGAGUAUUGCACAGUGAGCGGGAGCCUGAGGCAGCGACCCCGCGUGCGGAAUGACGGCCUUCGGGUUAUGAACCGCUUUCGCCUAUGACGAAGCGUGUGUGACGGUAAUGAGUAAAUAAGCACCGGCUAACUACGUG
rnacentral:rRNA from 1 species